UUAAAGAGUGCGUAAUAGCUCACUGGUCGAGAGACGCUGCGCCGAAAAUGUCCGGGGCUCAAGCACGGAACCGAAGCUAUGGCAUUGCUUAGGCAAUGGGUAGGGGAGCGUUCUUACCAGGGUGAAGCAGUACCGUAAGGAGCUGUGGACAGGUAAGAAGUGAGAAUGCUGGCAUGAGUAUCGAAAAGAAAGGUGAGAAUCCUUUCCACCGAAAGCCCGAGGGUUCCUGAGCAACGAUCGUCGUCUCAGGGUAAGUCGGGACCUAAGCCGAGGCGGAGAAGCGUAGGCGAUGGACAACAGGUUGAAAUUCCUGUACUGCUUUAUGUCGUCUGAGUGAUGGAGUGACGCAGGAGGGCACAUGAUCGCGCGAUUGGAAGAGCGCGUCCAAGCAUGUAGUUUGAAUAUGAGUAAAAUGCCAUAUUCUGAAAGACGAGAUGUGACGGGGAAUUAGAGGAAACUCUGAGGAACUCAUGGAUCCCACACUGCCGAGAAAAGCUUCUAGCGAGACAUAAGGCACCCGUACCGUAAACCGACACAGGUAGGCGGGGAGAGAAUCCUAAGGUGCGCGGGAAAACCCUCGUUAAGGAACUCGGCAAAUUGCAUCCGUAACUUCGGGAAAAGGAUGACCCUGAGUAGGCGAAGGACAGAAACGUCCGGAACCGGAAAGGGUGGCAGAAAAGAGGCCCAAGCAACUGUUUACCAAAAACACAGGUGCCUGCGAAAGCGAAAGCUGAAGUAUAGGUGCUGACGCCUGCCCGGUGCUGGAAGGUUAAGGAGAGAUGUCAGCGAAAGCGAAGCAUUGAACUGAAGCCCCAGUGAACGGCGGCCGUAACUAUAACGGUCCUAAGGUAGCGAAAUUCCUUGUCGGGCAAGUUCCGACCCGCAUGAAAGGCGUAAUGAUUUGGGCACUGUCUCAACGAGGGGCCCGGUGAAAUUGAAAUACCUGUGAAGAUGCAGGUUACCCGCGACUGGACAGAAAGACCCCAUGGAGCUUUACUGCAGCUUGAGACGGAAUUCCGGUGAUAGAUGCACAGGAUAGGUGGGAGGCUUAGAGUACCGGACUUUGGUCUGGUAGGAGCCGCUGUUGGGAUACCACCCUUCUGUUGCUGGAAUUCUAACGCGAAGAGUAACGACCUUGCGGACAAUCUCAGGCAGGCGGUUUGACUGGGGCGGUCGCCUCCGAAAGAGUAA
rnacentral:rRNA from 1 species